AACCCAUGUUGUGGACACUUCUGCAACAGAUCCUUGAACCUUUCCCAUGUCUCAAACAUUGAUUCUAGCUUUAUCUGAACAUAUGAAGAUAUCUCAUUGCGAAGCCU